UUGGAUUACGGAUUACCGGACAUCCUGGUCACGCUUUUUAGAACAUAGAUGGCGCCAGUCAGGUGACCAUCGCAACACAUACGCUGUUGAGAUGUGAAAUGUCCUUUGACUUCAGUGUCAUCGGAUACAGAAGCACCGCAGUAAGGCGAAUACCGCCGUCUACGUUUCUCUUUCUCGAUUAGGAUAUGUCCUCACGCUGUCGCGGCUUUGCCGCUGCGCUCCGGACGGGGCGCCGGACGACCGGCGUGGGCCUUUGGCCCUGUUUGGUGGUCUGAUCGGAGUUCGAUUGACUGUCGCCUGUUGGGUUCGCUCAGUGUGUGUGUACACGUAAAUCGGGCCCGUAGCUCAGUCGGUUAGAGCACACGCUUGAUAAGCGUGGGGUCGGUAGUUCGAGUCUACCCGGGCCCACCAUAUUCUCUCCCGACUUGACGUCGGGGUUGAAGAAUUGGGGCUGUAGCUCAGCUGGGAGAGCACCUGCUUUGCAAGCAGGGGGUCAGCGGUUCGAUCCCGCUCAGCUCCACCAAAUUCUUGGUGGAAGACGGAAUAUCCUAAGAGAGAAAUAAAAGUUUGCAUCGGUUCGUUCGAGCCUGAUGCCUGUUCUGCUUACAUUGUGAAGAGAAGAUAUGUCUGGAAGCUUCCAGGUGUUUUGCGCAAUUCUUGACGAAUUGCUUGAGACGUCCGAGCCCAGUCCUGUUAAAGCUGUCGACGGUCUAGCCGAUCCGAGACAGACGAGGGACUGGAGGUAGGAAGGAAGCUUGUUACUCAAGGCAUGUUUGUUGUUGGUGGUUUGGUCCGCUGAAGCUUCAAGUCCGCAAGGAUUUGGGGAUUUUGGUGUUUCCGGUCAUCUCUGACGGCAUGUUGAUGGAUGUUGCCUGACCGCGCAUCCCCGGACAGAUCUCGAGAAGCUGGUCUUAAGAUACGACCUCGAAGUGCACCGGCGUGCCUUCAUAUGAGGAUUGUAUCGAACACGUCGAUGGCAUCUGGAUUUGGAUUUGGUUGUAAAAGGUAACCUUAUCCGUUGGAUAACUGGUGCGGCACACUCACAAGGUGUCCGUAUGGCCAGGCUUGGCACCCCUUCGAGCGCAAGCGAGGAGGAUAGGUUUGCCAAGACCAACUCAAGGAUGAGCAUUGGCAAUGAGAACGAUCAAGUGAAAUAAGGGCAAUUGGUGGAUGCCUUGGCAUGCACAGGCGAUGAAGGACGUGAUACGCUGCGAUAAGCCGUGGGAGCUGCGAAU
rnacentral:misc_RNA from 1 species